CUCGGGUUAUGUUCAAGAUGGCGACUGAAUCCUUAAAAAUAAGGGAAAAGAUGUGGUGUAGCAUCAUCGUCUUCAAUUCUUCUCAGACAUCUUUUUGGAAAGGACAACCUCAAGGAAUGGACUGCUGCAGAUAGCCCACUAUUGAUCCUACAAGGAAUGGAUCGAGGUAGAUGAGUUGUCAUAGUUGGACUGGAUGAAAUACACAAGAUAACUCACUCUUGAUCCCUCAAUGAAUGCAAGACACAAGAUAACCCACUCUUUGGCAAGUGAUGAGCUACUGGGAGAAAAGCAACUUCACCACUCAUUGAUGUCAAAUGGAUGAAAUGAACAAG